GUCAGAAACCCCACGCCUAAAGGCGGGGGCUUGAAAAAAGCCUUAAUCUGACCAGCUUAAGUACUUUGAGUACUACGUUAGAGACAAGAGUUUAAGACCUACCAAGGGAUGAGAGUGCUAGUUCCUUGCUCUAGA
rnacentral:sRNA from 19 species